rnacentral:rRNA from 1 species
GACGAACGCUGGCGGCGUGCUUAACACAUGCAAGUCGAGCGGUAAGGCCCUUUCGGGGGUACACGAGCGGCGAACGGGUGAGUAACACGUGGGUGACCUGCCUCUAGCUCUGGGAUAAGCCUGGGAAGCUGGGUCUAAUACCGGAUAUGAUCUCGCGGUGCAUGUUGCGGGGUGGAAAGCCUUGUGCGGCUAGGGAUGGGCCCGCGGCCUAUCAGCUUGUUGGUGGGGUGAUGGCCUACCAAGGCGACGACGGGUAGCCGGCCUGAGAGGGCGACCGGCCACACUGGGACUGAGACACGGCCCAGACUCCUACGGGAGGCAGCAGUGGGGAAUCUUGCGCAAUGGGCGAAAGCCUGACGCAGCGACGCCGCGUGAGGGAUGACGGCCUCGGU